rnacentral:lncRNA from 1 species
UGAUCAAGCAUAAUUUAGCCACAUUUUUAUUAUAUUUAUUACUGUUUAUUUACACAUUUUUCUAGCUUAAUUUGUGUUUUUUAUAUGUUUUUACAGAAAAGGAAGAAAUUGGAAAGUUAGAGAAAAAGUGAAGAAAAAGCUGGAAAAGUGAUUGGGUCAAAGUGAUUUGCCCAAAUCACUCGCAGAAACUAGCCAAAUCACUCGCAGAGACAAAGACAGAAACUGGACUGAACCCCAGGAAGCGAUUGGGGCAAAUUGAGCAAGUGAUUUGCCCAAAUCACUCGCAGAAUCUGCCCAAAUCACUUUGAUAGCAGAAAAUACAGCAGAGGCGGGAAAAGAGCAGAAAAUCCAAAUUCAAAGGAAAGAAGUCCAAACCCACUUCAAACACUACAAGAUCAAUCCCAAGAGCCACGCCCCUCAUUUAGAGAGUUCCAUUCUCAAUCAAACACAAAAUUCAAAGAGGAAUCAAAGACUACAAAGAAGACCAAAUCAAAUUGAGAUUACAAAACCCUAAUCAAAUUGGACUUGGGACUCUCCAGCUAUAAAAGGGCAGCAUCAAAGGCAUCUCAUCAUCUCUUUUCAGCAUCUGCCAUCCUCGGAAAUUCUCCAGCAACACAGCAGAAACUUUCCUUCUUUCUUUUCUUCUUUAUUUUUGUAUUUUAGUCACCAUGAGUGGCUAAAUUCAUUAUUUUCUAGUUGAAGUUGAGAAUAUUCAAAUUUGUGAUGAAUUGGGAGGUUUAAUACUCCAUUGUUGAACUCUUGUUUAUUUCAAUAUUUAUGCAAUCUGAUCUUUUCCAUAAUUAUUGCUUUGCUUUUAGAAUCAAUAAGGGCCCAUUGCUUUUAAAUUGCUUAAGUGAUAAAUUGUUUGAAUGAUUUAGGUCCGUAAUUGCUUAAAUUGUUUGAACAUAAAUAUAAUCAGUUGCAUAACCUAGCCUUGACCACGCGGUUGG